AGAGUUUGAUCAUGGCUCAGAUUGAACGCUGGCGGCAGGCCUAACACAUGCAAGUCGAACGGUAACAGGAAGCAGCUUGCUGCUUUGCUGACGAGUGGCGGACGGGUGAGUAAUGUCUGGGAAACUGCCUGAUGGAGGGGGAUAACUACUGGAAACGGUGGCUAAUACCGCAUAACGUCGCAAGACCAAAGAGGGGGACCUUCGGGCCUCUUGCCAUCAGAUGUGCCCAGAUGGGAUUAGCUUGUUGGUGAGGUAACGGCUCACCAAGGCGACGAUCCCUAGCUGGUCUGAGAGGAUGACCAGCCACACUGGAACUGAGACACGGUCCAGACUCCUACGGGAGGCAGCAGUGGGGAAUAUUGCACAAUGGGCGCAAGCCUGAUGCAGCCAUGCCGCGUGUAUGAAGAAGGCCUUCGGGUUGUAAAGUACUUUCAGCGGGGAGGAAGGUGUUGUGGUUAAUAACCACAGCAAUUGACGUUACCCGCAGAAGAAGCACCGGCUAACUCCGUGCCAGCAGCCGCGGUAAUACGGAGGGUGCAAGCGUUAAUCGGAAUUACUGGGCGUAAAGCGCACGCAGGCGGUCUGUCAAGUCGGAUGUGAAAUCCCCGGGCUCAACCUGGGAACUGCAUUCGAAACUGGCAGGCUUGAGUCUUGUAGAGGGGGGUAGAAUUCCAGGUGUAGCGGUGAAAUGCGUAGAGAUCUGGAGGAAUACCGGUGGCGAAGGCGGCCCCCUGGACAAAGACUGACGCUCAGGUGCGAAAGCGUGGGGAGCAAACAGGAUUAGAUACCCUGGUAGUCCACGCCGUAAACGAUGUCUACUUGGAGGUUGUGCCCUUGAGGCGUGGCUUCCGGAGCUAACGCGUUAAGUAGACCGCCUGGGGAGUACGGCCGCAAGGUUAAAACUCAAAUGAAUUGACGGGGGCCCGCACAAGCGGUGGAGCAUGUGGUUUAAUUCGAUGCAACGCGAAGAACCUUACCUGGUCUUGACAUCCACGGAAGUUUUCAGAGAUGAGAAUGUGCCUUCGGGAACCGUGAGACAGGUGCUGCAUGGCUGUCGUCAGCUCGUGUUGUGAAAUGUUGGGUUAAGUCCCGCAACGAGCGCAACCCUUAUCCUUUGUUGCCAGCGAUUCGGUCGGGAACUCAAAGGAGACUGCCAGUGAUAAACUGGAGGAAGGUGGGGAUGACGUCAAGUCAUCAUGGCCCUUACGACCAGGGCUACACACGUGCUACAAUGGCGCAUACAAAGAGAAGCGACCUCGCGAGAGCAAGCGGACCUCAUAAAGUGCGUCGUAGUCCGGAUUGGAGUCUGCAACUCGACUCCAUGAAGUCGGAAUCGCUAGUAAUCGUGGAUCAGAAUGCCACGGUGAAUACGUUCCCGGGCCUUGUACACACCGCCCGUCACACCAUGGGAGUGGGUUGCAAAAGAAGUAGGUAGCUUAACCUUCGGGAGGGCGCUUACCACUUUGUGAUUCAUGACUGGGGUGAAGUCGUAACAAGGUAACCGUAGGGGAACCUGCGGUUG
rnacentral:rRNA from 1 species